GACGAACGCUGGCGGCGUGCUUAACACAUGCAAGUCGAGCGGUAAGGCCCUUUCGGGGGUACACGAGCGGCGAACGGGUGAGUAACACGUGGGUGACCUGCCCUCAGCUCUGGGAUAAGCCUGGGAAACCGGGUCUAAUACCGGAUACGACUCCAUGACGCAUGUUGUGGGGUGGAAAGCCUUGUGCGGCUGAGGAUGGGCCCGCGGCCUAUCAGCUUGUUGGUGGGGUGAUGGCCACCAAGGCGACGACGGGUAGCCGGCCUGAGAGGGCGACCGGCCACACUGGGACUGAGACACGGCCCAGACUCCUACGGGAGGCAGCAGUGGGGAAUAUUGCGCAAUGGGCGGAAGCCUGACGCAGCGACGCCGCGUGGGGGA
rnacentral:rRNA from 1 species